UUAUCAAAAACAUCGCCUCUUGCUAACAAAGGAAGUACUAGAGGUCCCGCCUGCCCUGUGACCACAAAGUUUAACGGCCGCGGUAUCCUGACCGUGCGAAGGUAGCGUAAUCAUUUGUCUUUUAAAUAGAGACCUGUAUGAAUGGCAUAACGAGGGCUUAACUGUCUCCUCCCCCGAGUCAAUGAAAUUGAUCUGCCCGUGCAGAAGCGGACAUAAACACAUAAGACGAGAAGACCCUAUGGAGCUUUAGACAAAAGAUCAAACAUGUAAAGAAACCAAACUAACCAAAAGGAAUACAAAAGCCACAAAACCCAGUGUAAACUGAUCCAAAUGUCUUCGGUUGGGGCGACCAUGGGGGAAAGAAAAGCCCCCACGAGGAACAGGGACAACCCCUAAACUAAGAGAGACACCUCUAAGCAACAGAAAAUCUGACCAAAAAUGACCCAGGACACUGAUCCUGAUCAACGAACCAAGUUACCCUAGGGAUAACAGCGCAAUCCUUUCCCAGAGUCCAUAUCGACGAAAGGGUUUACGACCUCGAUGUUGGAUCAGGACAUCCUAAUGGUGCAGCCGCUAUUAAGGGUUCGUUUGUUCAACGAUUAAUAGUCCUACGUGAUCUGAGUUCA
rnacentral:rRNA from 1 species